AACUGAAGGGGGCACACGGAGUUGAAUCAUGGACUAUCGAUCUGCAGUCGAUUGCUCUACCACUGAGCUUAACCCCAGU